rnacentral:misc_RNA from 2 species
AACGCAAAUUGCGCUCUCGGGAUAGGCCUGGGAGCACGCCUCUUUGAGCAUCGAUUCAACAACAACUCAGCUUCUUGCUUUGUGUUUUCACAAGGCAAAAACGCUGGAAAUUGAGAUUCUUGCGAUUGCGAGAUUCUUUAAAUGUGUCGAGCUUGCCGGAGUCGACAAACUGUCAGCUCUGCGAAUGAGAUGCAGGAUAUUUUCACACUCUGUGUGAAUUCCAUGCAGCUUCUUCGUUGCUGUUGACUAGUCUGUUUUCUCAAUAAGGCAGCGGUCCCUUGGCGGCUUCGGCUGCUAAGACUUAUUUGAACUAGAUCUCAAAUGAAGCGAGAAUACCCGCUGAACUUAA